CUGUUGUUCAUUCAAACUUGAUCCGCUCGGUGGGCGGGAGCUGAGCGCGGGAUUGUCGUCACCGCUGACCAAUCACAGCGCUCCAAGGAAGAGGCAACGGAUAUACAGAAGCGCGGGCCAAUGGAGCCGCCCAUGUGAAACUGGGGGUCGCCACAGCGGAUCAUCUGCCUCCAUCUUGUCCCAUCCCCUGUGUCUUCUUCUGUUACACCAACUGUCCUCUUGUCCUUCAUAACAUCCAUGAUCCUCUGUGGUCUUCCUCUUUUCCUCCUCUUUCUACAAUACAAAUAAAGCUUCAGCAUUUUAAACACUG